rnacentral:ncRNA from 1 species
CACAAAGGCUUGGUCCUGACUUUAUUKUCGGCUUUAGCCAAAUUUACACAUGCAAGUCUCCGCUCCCCCGUGAAAAUGCCCUUACAGUCCCCUGCUUGGAGACAAGGAGCUGGUAUCAGGCACGCCCCCCUACGCCCACGACGCCUUGCUAAGCCACACCCCCAAGGGAAUUCAGCAGUGAUAGACAUUAAGCCAUGAGCGCAAGCUCGACUUAGUUAAGGUUAAGUAGGGCCGGUAAAACUCGUGCCAGCCACCGCGGUUAGACGAGAGGCCCAAGUUGACAGAAGACGGCGUAAAGAGUGGUUAUGCCCCCAAACUUAACUAAAGCCAAAUGCCCGCAAAGCUGUUAUACGCAUUCGAGGGCCAGAGGCCCCCUCACGAAAGUCGCUUUAUUAAACUGAACCCACGAAAGCUAUGAAACAAACUGGGAUUAGAGACCCCACUAUGCUUAGCCCUAAACUUCGAUAACUGCCCACAGUUGUUAUACGCCCGGGAACUACGAGCAUAAGCUUAAAACCCAAAAGACUUGGCGGUGCUUUAGACCCACCUAGAGGAGCCUGUUCUAGAACCGAUAACCCCCGUUCAACCUCACCUUUUCUUGUUCAUACCGCCUAUAUACCGCCGUCAUCAGCUUACCCUGUGAAGGACCCAUAGUAAGCACAAUUGGUACAGCCCAAAAUGCCAGGUCGAGGUGUAGCGCAUGUAAAGUGGAAGAAAUGGGCUACAUUUGGUGAAACACCACACUACGAAAGGGAGGCUGAAACGCCUGCCAGAAGGAGGAUUUAGCAGUAAGCAGAAAGCAGCGUGUUCUACUGAAGCCGGCCCUGAAGCGCGUACACACCGCCCGUCACUCUCCCCRAUGGAGCCGAACAUUAUACCUAAAAUAUGAUUAUCUAGAAGGGGAGGCAAGUCGUAACAUGGUAAGUGUACCA